UCACAAAAGGGUACAUUUUGUAUUUAACCCUUUUUAGUUAUUUGAAACUGAAGUCUUUGUGUUACGCAGUUGUGAUGAAAGAUCAUAGUCAUAUUUAAAAAACCAAAUUAAUUGAUAUCACUUGGGUCUUAUUUGAUGUAGCGUAUGGUUUGGUUGGUUGUUUUAGGUGAAAUGAUCGUUUGAAAGAAAGAGAAGUUAGCUAAUUUGAUCCCAAAAGCCAAAAAUAUUUUAUAUUAUAAAUGAGAAUGCAUAACAAUUUGAGUCCAACACCACCUUAUGUAAAGUUUGAAUUAACAAGGCUUUCUAUAUUCUGAGCGAAUUUUAUGGAAUAUUUAUGGAUUAUUCACAGCAGCACCCCACUAUUAAUAUAGCGUCAAGCUCUUUACGCUUGCAGAAGUAGGUUGGGCCUUAAUUGUCUGCAGAAGUGAUGCAGAGGACAUUUGUUCAUGGUUAGCCGCAUACAUGGGAAAUAUUCUAAAGACAUUGUUGUCGAAUUAGAUAUCCCAUUAGUGAAGAAAAGUUCAAGUGAACCUAUAUUCAAGCGACCAUGCGCGUCUCCAAACACCAUCGCGAUUACCGAAA